ACCGGGGCGGGGCGCGCCGGUAUUAAACAAGCGUAUAAACGAAGAUUUUAAGGAGAAUAUCAAAAUGUCAGAACGAAUUUCCGGAACUGUAAAAUGGUUCAACAAUACCAAGGGCUAUGGUUUUUUGGCCCGCGAAAAUGGACCCGAUGUGUUCGUCCAUCAUUCUGCGAUCGCAGGUGAAGGAUACCACUCACUGGACGAAGGUCAGAAGGUGGAAUUUACCGUUGAGCAAGGCCCCAAAGGCCCGCAGGCUGUCAACGUAACCAUCCUCCAGUAAUCAGCACUUUCAAAACACCACCCGAACAGACAAUCCGCGGGUGGUGUUUUAUU
rnacentral:other from 1 species